rnacentral:rRNA from 1 species
AACCUACGGGAGGCAGCAGUAGGGAAUCUUCCACAAUGGACGAAAGUCUGAUGGAGCAACGCCGCGUGAGUGAAGAAGGGUUUCGGCUCGUAAAGCUCUGUUGGUAGUGAAGAAAGAUAGAGGUAGUAACUGGCCUUUAUUUGACGGUGAUUACUUAGAAAGUCACGGCUAACUACGUGCCAGCAGCCGCGGUAAUACGUAGGUGGCAAGCGUUGUCCGGAUUUAUUGGGGGUAAAGCGAGUGCAGGCGGUGCAAUAAAUCUGAU